CUAGAAACUCAAAAGUCAAAACACAAUCUCUCUCUCUUCCUCGGCCGCACACCUAAUUCUAUCCUCUCUCCUUUCCACUUCUCUCGAUCGGAGACCACCAUUUCCGGCCACCAAUUCAAAACACGCCACCGCCAAUCGAUUCUGGACCCGAUUCCUAUCAAAACCCAAGAAGAUCACUGCCAUCCACCGCUGCCAGCCUCAUCAAUCGACCAUCAAAGUCGCGACGGCGCUGCUCCCUAGCUCUCAUCAAGUUUCGGCCAUUUCCUCAACACACCCCCGCCAUCAGCGUGCUCAGAGGAAGCCGAACAUCAAAAUCCAGAAGCCUCGCCGCCGGCCGUGCCUCGAAGGACCGCGCACGUUCCAUUGCCGGAAUCCUAGACCCUGGGUUUCUCCGGUCUUCCUUCUCCAAAUCGAAUCGAGCUCCAAUACCUCCAAGAAUGGAGUCAGUGCCUCUCCUUUUAUCAAAACCAAGGGCCCGACUUCUGAUUUCAACCAGAGCCGCCGCGGACGCCGCCGUAUUAUCCUCUUCGUUCUGGGGAAAUUGAAAUGUAAAGGGGAGCUUCUAGUCUUGAUUUCGAUUGAUUUUUAAAGGGAUGAUGAGGAACUAAGGAGGGCUGCUGGAGGCAGCAGGUCAUUGAGACUAUUGUCUCGGCAGAAAUGAUAGAGGUUUCUGUGUUGGAAGUGUAGUAGCUACAUCUGUCUUUCUCCGCCUUGAAGGGCAAGCAUUAUUCCUGCAACUAUGUGAUCAUUCUGGCUGGAAGGUUCAAAGACAAGAGGGUUGGCCUUUUGAAGUGCAUAAAUUGCAGUAAAGGAACAAGGGCAAUAAGGUCUGUGAGCCAAAUUCAGAUGCGAGAGAAGCGGGAGUUUUGAAAUUGAGGCUGAGGUUGCAGAGGACAAGGGGUUAAGGCACAACAUAGAUGACACUUGGGUUCUGCUCCUGGAUGCGAGCUUGGAUUUUCAAAGAAAGUUGAGGUUCCUAAUGCUUUGGUUUUGUUUAUUAUGCAUGGUGUUCGGGUCUGAUGUAGUAUUGUAAAUGAAGUAUUGUUGGAAGGUGUUUCGUAAAGUAACGGAAUUUGAACGUUGACUAGCAUUAUAGUAUGCUAAGAAGCAUUUGCAUACAGAUCUGCUUUCAGUUGGAUUACCACUUGAGUUCGUUUGUUUACAGUUUACGUGGUUUGAUUUCAUGUCUAUGUUAGGCACUUAAUAGCUUAUAUUAAAAUAAUCAUGAUUUGAUGACAAUUAAUAGGUAAUAAGAUUAGAUCUGAGUAUUAAGUCUCAUGUAGGAAUCAUGAGGUUACUGCAUUAACAAUUUGCAUCCCUACAAUCUGUUGGAGACUAAUUGGAUUAUGUGGUGUUGCAGUUGAAUGUAAAAGCAGCCAAGGAAGCCACUCUGGAUGGUACAAAUUUAUUGUGCAAUUUUGCAACUUAUUUUGCAAGAUAUGUUUUUUUGUAUUGCAUACUUCAUCCAUUUUGGAUUGCUGCUUGGUAGCUGAUAUGUAUUUGAACUUCCCUAAUUUAGAUUCGGGGAAACUGAUGAGGCUAUUCAUAUGCACACAUGUGGUAAUUUGAUGUAUAUAUUAUUUUAUUGCUUU